AGGUUUUUCCCAUGGGCGGAUUCCUCGACCCCGCCACGCCGCGUGGUGAUGAAGGCCUUCUGGGUUUGGAACCUCUUUUUGGCCGGGCAAAAUUCUCCCUUGGGGAGAUUGAGGGGGCCCGGGUGCAUUCUCCACCGCCGCUUACGACCCCCCCCCCGCCGUAUAAUAUAAA
rnacentral:rRNA from 1 species